CAUUCUCUCCCUCUCUCCUCUCGACCGCACCUCUCUCUCUCCACGACCUCUCGCUCUCUCUCUCUCUCCUUCCCUCUGCAACCACCGGAAAAUCCCAUUUCCGGCUACCGCUUCACGACACCGCCCCCGCCAACUCAACCAGAACCCAAUUCCAACCCAAACCCGACCAAAAUCACGGCCAUGCACCACCGUCGUCCUUCGCACGCGACAACCCAAGACUGCGCACCACUGUUCCUCGACCCUCACCGAUUUCCGACGAUUUUCUCACCCUUCCGCCACCAUCAAUCUACUCAGCAAGUAGAGGGGAACAAAACCCAAAAAACCUCUUCGCCCGCCGACGCCGGACAAUGCUGUGUGAGCUACCCGGCGCCGCAGUUAGCGCCACCAGGUCAUUUCCUUUCGUCUGGUAAGAUGGAUUUUCGUCAAGUUCAUCUUGGUUAAGGCUUCUGUCUUGAAUUGGAUUAAAGAUCAUAAUUCUGUCGUAUAUUUGGAUUAUGUGAGGAUUUGGUGGAUUUCUGCAUUCUGGAAAGUUUUGGAGAAGAGAGAAACUGUUGGGUCAAUUCGAUUGAUGUCAAGAAAAGGAGGUCCGAAUGGGUUGAUAGUGGUGGACUGCAACAACUAGAAUUAGCCUCUGGUUGGGGAAAAGAAGAAUGGUAAGGGACUGUGUAUUUUGGAAUCUGUUUGGCCGUGUACUGUUUGUACUGAUCAAAGUUAUGGUUUUAUUGAGUAUGUGUGAUAUAAAUUUGGUUGUGGUAUUCGAGUGAUCGGUUAUGUUGGAAAUGUCAUUGUUAUAAGGUGAAUGACUAAAUCAGUGAGCUCUUUAAAGAAGUUGUAAAUUGCAAGUUAAAUUGUUGUUGUGAAAGAAAAUGUUGAGCAUGAGUAACUAUCAA